GACCUAGUGGUGAAGGGAAACACUCCUGCGCCCUAUACGUUGCUUGCGUGUUGGCAUCUGCAGGAGGCCCGGGUUCGACUCCGGGCUAGGUCG